rnacentral:misc_RNA from 1 species
GAUGAAGAACGUAGCGAAAUGCGAUAAGUAGUGUGAAUUGCAGAAUUCAGUGAAUCAUCGAAUCUUUGAACGCACAUUGCGCCCCAUGGUAUUCCGUGGGGCAUGCCUGUUCGAGCGUCAUUUACCCCCUCAAGCUCCGCUUGGUGUUGGGCGUCUGUCCCGCUUCGCGCGCGGACUCGCCCCAAAGGUAUUGGCAGCGGUCGUGCCAGCUUCUCGCGCAGCACAUUGCGCUUCUCGAGGCACCGGUGGGCCCGCGUCCAUCAAGCUCACCCCCCCAGUUUGACCUCGGAUCAGGUAGGGAUACCCGCUGAACUUAAGCAUAUCAAUAAGCGGAAGGA